rnacentral:rRNA from 1 species
AGCGAACGCUGGCGGCAGGCCUAACACAUGCAAGUCGAACGAACCCUUCGGGGUUAGUGGCGGACGGGUGAGUAACACGUGGGAACGUGCCUUUAGGUUCGGACUAACUCAGGGAAACUUGUGCUAAUACCGAAUGUGCCCUUCGGGGGAAAGAUUUAUCGCCUUUAGAGCGGCCCGCGUCUGAUUAGCUAGUUGGUGAGGUAAUGUCUCACCAAGGCUACGAUCAGUAGCUGGUCUGAGAGGAUGACCAGCCACAUUGGGACUGAGACACGGCCCAAACUCCUACGGGAGGCAGCAGUGGGGAAUCUUGCGCAAUGGGCGAAAGCCUGACGCAGCCAUGCCGCGUGGAUGAUGAAGGUCUUAGGAUUGUAAAAUCCUUUCACCGGUGAAGAUAAUGACUGUAGCCGGAGAAGAAGCCCCGGCUAACUUCGUGCCAGCCGCCGCGGUAAAAC